rnacentral:rRNA from 1 species
GUUGAACGCUGGCGGCAGGCCUAACACAUGCAAGUCGAACGGUAGCACAGAGAGCUUGCUCUCGGGUGACGAGUGGCGGACGGGUGAGUAAUGUCUGGGAAACUGCCCGAUGGAGGGGGAUAACUACUGGAAACGGUAGCUAAUACCGCAUAACGUCGCAAGACCAAAGUGGGGGACCUUAGGGCCUCACACCAUCGGAUGUGCCCAGAUGGGAUUAGCUAGUUGGUGAGGUAA